UACGUAGGGUGCGAGCGUUGUCCGGAAUUAUUGGGCGUAAAGAGCUUGUAGGUGGUUUGUCGCGUCUGCUGUGAAAAUCCGAGGCUCAACCUCGGACUUGCAGUGGGUACGGGCAGACUAGAGUGUGGUAGGGGAGACUGGAAUUCCUGGUGUAGCGGUGGAAUGCGCAGAUAUCAGGAGGAACACCAAUUGCGAAGGCAGCUCGCUGGGACGUUACUGACACUGAGGAGCGAAAGCGUGGGUAGCAAACAGG
rnacentral:rRNA from 1 species